GAGUUGUAUGUAGGACUGUGGUCAAAACUGGUACUCUAAUCACAUCCAAAAUACUGUAGUGCAUGCCUCCCCCCAGACUAGGGUUUGCCAGACCCAGCAUGAGCAUCUACUACAAGGAGCUACCAUGGCAAACGACGAGUCCUACACUGGUAUUUAUACCAGGCCAAGUCUCUUCAUCCGGUCCAGGGCCACAGUCUCUUCACCCGGGCAGCGAGGACGUUCUGUCUGUAGACAC